AAAUAUUCCAUUCAGUGAAAACCAUUCAUCAUGUUCACUGUUAUACUGAUAUGUCUGUGGCUUUCAUUAGGUGACUCCAUGGCAGAUUCAAUAAAGCCAGUUUUCCCUCAUGAACUUGUAGAUGAAGGUGAUGAUGUUACUCUGUCCUGCAGCUACAAAGACUUCAGUGGUACUGUACGGAAUCUGCAGUGGUACAGACAAUAUCCAAAAUCUAAACCUGAGUUCCUUCUUUAUAUUUUUGAAAAUGGAGAUCUAAGUCCCAACACUCCCCCAAGAAUGUCUGCUAAAGUUCAUGAAGAUAAACAAGUGAAUCUGAUCAUCUCCUCUGCUGCUGUAUCAGACUCUGCUCUAUACUACUGUGCUCUGGCACCCACAGUGACAGGAAAUCCAGCUGCAUGGUACGAGUCAAGCCCCAGGGCAGGCCUCAAGUUGUCCUUCCUGUUUGGUGGUGGUGCUUCCUUCACUGCGUGCUGUGUGGCUGUGCAUGAUCUCACUGGUGUGCGGUGCGAUGUGUUUUUAGAGAAGCUCCAGAAGUUCUGCAACCCUGACCAGGAUAAAGCAGUCCUAUCAACCCGCUUCAAGCAGCCUGAAGUCUACGGCAAUGAAACCACCCGGUGCACCUUCAUGCUGUCUCUGCUGAUGAGAAAGCACUCGACUGGGCUUCGGCAGUGUGGGACUCGGAUCCUCAGGUGA